rnacentral:rRNA from 1 species
GACGAACGCUGGCGGCGUGCUUAACACAUGCAAGUCGAACGGAAAGGCCCUGCUUGCAGGGUACUCGAGUGGCGAACGGGUGAGUAACACGUGGGUGAUCUGCCCUGCACUUCGGGAUAAGCCUGGGAAACUGGGUCUAAUACCGGAUAGGAGCCAUUUUUAGUGUGAUGGUUGGAAAGUUUUUUCGGUGUAGGCUGAGCUCGCGGCCUAUCAGCUUGUUGGUGGGGUAAUGGCCUACCAAGGCGGCGACGGGUAGCCGGCCUGAGAGGGUGGACGGCCACAGUGGGACUGAGAUACGGCCCAGACUCCGACGGGAGGCAGCAGGGGGGAAUAUUGCACAAUGGGCGCAAGCCGGAUGCAGCGACGCCGCGUGGGGGAUGACGGCCUUCGGGUUGUAAACUCCUUUCGCUAGGGACGAAGCUUUUUGUGACGGUACCUAGAGAAGAAGCACCGGCUAACUACGUG